AAAAACUACAAUUUUACAUUGUUUGUGACCAACGUUUGACUGUCCGUCUUAUUUGAAAAAAAAAUUAUGAAUAGUAUUCUUAUUGUUAUUAGAUGAUAAAACAUGAAUAGUAUUUUAUGUGUGACUAUUUUUUUAAUUUUUUCAUAAGUUUUUAAAUAAAACGAACAGUCAAACGUUUGAUACAGAAACCCAUAACUAUACUUAAA
rfam:Oryza glaberrima chromosome 4 Oglab04_0311_5, whole genome shotgun sequence.